AAGUGGCGAAAGGGGCAGUAAGGCGUGGGUAACCUACCCCGGGGACGGGCAUAGCCCUCCUAACGGAGGGGUAAUUCCUGGCGAUGUGACGGGACCGCCUGGCCCUGUCAUGAAAUGAAUUUCGCCUCGGGAGGGGCUCACGUGGUAUUAGCUGGUUGGUGAGGUAACGGCUCACCAAGGCCGAGAUGCCUAGCGGGUGUGAGAGCACGACCCGCGCCACUGGCACUGAGACACUGGCCAGACUCCUACGGGAGGCUGCAGUCGAGGAUCUUCGGCAAUGGGCGCAAGCCUGACCGAGCGACGCCGCGUGUGCGAUGAAGGCCUUCGGGUUGUAAAGCACUGUCGAGGGGGAGGAAGCCGCAAGGUUGACCUAUCCCUGGAGGAAGCACGGGCUAAGUUCGUGCCAGCAGCCGCGGUAAGACGAACCGUGCGAACGUUGUUCGGAUUCACUGGGCUUAAAGGGCGCGUAGGCGGUCGACCAAGUCUGGGGUGAAAUCUUUCGGCUCAACCGGAAAAGUGCCCCCGAUACUGGCCGGCUAGAGGGAGAUAGGGGCAUGCGGAACUUCCGGUGGAGCGGUGAAAUGCGUAGAUAUCGGAAGGAACGCCGGUGGCGAAAGCGGCGUGCUGGAUCUCUUC
rnacentral:rRNA from 1 species